rnacentral:rRNA from 1 species
GACGAACGCUGGCGGCGUGCUUAACACAUGCAAGUCGAGCGAUGAAAGCCUUAUGAACUAUUCGUAGUGAUUGGGGCCGGAUUAGCGGCGGACGGGUGAGUAACGCGUGAGCAACCUGCCUUAAACAACGGGAUAGCCUCGGGAAACCGGGAUUAAUACCGUAUGAGACCCCGCCUUCACAUGAAGAAGAGGUUAAAGAUUUAUCGGUUUAAGAUGGGCUCGCGUCUGAUUAGCUAGUUGGUGAGAUAAAAGCCCACCAAGGCAACGAUCAGUAACCGGCUUGAGAGAGUGAACGGUCACAUUGGAACUGAGACACGGUCCAAACUCCUACGGGAGGCAGCAGUGGGGAAUAUUGCACAAUGGGGGAAACCCUGAUGCAGCGACGCCGCGUGAGCGAUGAAGGAAUUCGUUUCGUAAAGCUCUGUCCAAGGGGAAGAUAAUGACAGUACCCUUGGAGGAAGCCCCGGCUAAAUACGUGCCAGCAGCCGCAGUAA